UACAUUUUCCCACUAUGUGACGGCGAGGAUCUGUUUUCUAUUUUAUACCCCUCGGCCCUCCCUGGAAAAACCCUGUGUCAGUGAAUCGGAAACCCUAGAAUUCAGACGAUCUUUGAUUAUUUGCUUUUACGUAUUCUUUUCAUUUUCAAAGAAAUGGUUAAGAUUGGGUCCAGGAGAGAGCUGUUAGAUAGAUGGAGAGGCAUUGAGGAAGAAGAAGACGACGACGACGAUCCUAUGAAACGCCGCCGUCUUCACAAGCUCAAAGAAGAAUGGUUCUCAGAUACGUUUAAUUUCCUGAUUAGUUUGCCUAAAGAAAAUCAUAUAUGGUGUGGCUCUUGGGACUUAAUGGGGCCCCUUUUGGAGACGUUUUACAAUUAUUACAAAGAUGAGCGUCCUGAUUCUCCCCUUGGGCUUCUGUGGAAGAGGAUUUCUGAGGAAAUACGGCAAUGCAUCCAAUGCAUUUCUCAGCACCACCAGGCCCAACAGAUGUAUAGUAUGGAGUAUGAUUCGAGUUCAAUUGGCCCCCUUCUUGAUGUGUUGCGAAGUCUGGAUGAGGAAAGGGUAACUCAACACUUGCGUGAGAUAAAUACUAGACUAAAGAAGGAAGACUACGAUCCUCAGCGGGAUAAUGCUGAAGUCGUUAGUCUUAUGUAUGAGGUUUUGAUGUUUCCUUUCCUGCUUGAUGAUCAGUCCUUGGUCACUGAAUUUGAAUUGUUUGUUGAAGCAGUUGAUAAUAUGCAUGAGCUGACUUUGGCUGGACAUCAACAAUUUCCGGGUGUUUAUGUGUUGCUUUUCUGCAAUAGAAGAGUACGCACCAUUGGUCGGCGUUUAGCUCGAUCUAUGGAAAAAUUGAGGAGAGCAGCAGAUAUGGAACCUUUGCAGCCUUUGUUGAACAAAUUUAUUGGGUUUCUGGAGACAGAAGCACUACCAUCAGCCACGAAGACUUCAAGGCCAAGAGCGCAGCUGGAGCGCUUAUCCAUAUGGCUUGGAAUCACAUCUUUGAUUGAGUUCUUAGAACCUCAUGCUUUUGAAGAAGGCAUACUGGAGCGCUAUCCAAUUUUUUUUGACAUUGUGCUUAACCAUAUAAGUGGCGAUUCAGCUGAAUUUUCUCAUGCUGUAAGCUGUUUGAAAGAACUUUUCAAAAUGCUUGGUUGCAAGCUUUGGUUAAGGUCUACAUUGUCUCCAAGUGUGAUGCGGAACACAUUAUUGGGCCAGUGUUUCCAUACUAGAAAUGAGAAGAUCCAUAAAGAUAUUUUUGACCUUCUUCCUCCUUUUCUUCAGUCGCUUGAGGCUUUGCAAGAUGGGGAACAUGAAAAGCAGCGCAGGCACUUUCUUUAUUUUCUUCUACAUCAGGUUCCUGUGAGCAGCAACUUCAAUGUUCUGACAAGAAAAUUGGCGUGCAAGAUAGCACUUCUUAUCAUACACCGAGGCUACAAGAUGAACCCACCAUGUACCCCAGUUGAAUGUGCGCAUAUGUGGGGUCCUUCACUUGUGUCAUCUUUGAAGGAUUCUUCGCUUCAUAGUUCUCUUCGACAGCCUGCUUUUGAUCUUAUGCAAACGAUUAUAGUGUCUGAUGCUGCUGCCCUAGUAACUGCAUUGUUGGAUAGCCAUACACCUUUAGCUGUUGAUAGAACCAUUUCAGUUGACAUUAAUGAUAAUGACAGGCUUUUAUUUUCCUCGGAUGUUGAAGAAAAGGAUAGUAGUUGUUGGAGUGAAUUCAAUGCACAGAGUAAGAUUACUUCUCAGGAUUGCAGAGGCUGGAUGUGCAUUCCUAUGUUAUGGAUAGAUGUUUUGGUUGAUAGUGAUCCAUCAAUACUUCCAGUAUCAUUUUCAAAGGCUGUUUUCUGGGCCCGAUCUCGUUUAAUCUUGAUAGAACCUGAAAACAGUGUGGAAAUGGCACUUGCUAUUAAAACUUGGCUUUCUUCUUCAGCCACAGAAAUCUCCACUUCAUUUGGGUGGAAGGUCCCAACUGGUUCUGAUGAUGGUGGGGGCAGUAAUGAGUCAAAAAACUCGAUCAGAGUGUCAAUGGCGCAUCUUCCUUUAAUAAGAACCUUCAACAGGUUGACUGCCCAUUUUGUAGUUCAGGUGGGGCAAGGGGAACUUCGGAAGCAGUGGACGUGGGAACCACAGAUGGCAGAGAGCUUGAUCCUUUCUCUUCUGGACCCUAAUGAUAGUGUGAGGCAAGUUGGUAAAAGUCUGUUGGAGCAAGUUUCCAAUACACGGGGUCUUGCAUGUGGAUUGAAGUUCCUUUGCUCCAGUGGUUCUUCUUUGUCAACCAUUUUUUUAGGGUUGAGACAUGCUUUGAAAGUGGUUCAAUUGGAUUCUGUUGUAUCAAAGUUUCACACAUUGCAGCAUUUUUUCUUUAUACUUCGGAAACUUAUUACAGAAGGGGAUUUAUUUUCUGAAAAUUCAUCAGAUAAUUCAGUAUUGAAGUACUCUUCCCAAGGUGGAUUUCUGACACAGCCAGUUUUUGAUUCUUUGCCUGCAAAUGUUGGAGGGCAUCCAUCAAUUGAUAACUUAAAAUCACAGGAGAGUUUCUGUUACUUAUUGUCAGAAAUUGCAUGGCCAUCAAUUCGGAAGUGCUUGAUAGAAGGGAAAGCAUUCGUUGAUUACAGUCUUUGCCAGAUGACUUGUGUUCGUGUACUUGAAAUCCUCCCUGUUCUUUUUGAGAGACUUUACCCAUCUCUCACUGGGCAUUCUAGGGAUUCUGGAAAAAUUGUGGGAAAUAUAUUGGACUUCAUGUGGCUACAUGAUCUGAUUGACUGGGGGAAAUCAUCACUUAAAGUUGUAGUUGUCUAUUGGAAACGAACAGUAAAUUCUCUGCUGAAUCUGCUCAAAGGUUCUUGCAGUAAUGCAGCUGCAUUGACUUUUAAGGUCAUUGAGAAUCUUAUUUCAUGUGAGAGUGUUAAUAUUGAUGAAUUGACAGAAGAAGUUUCACGCCUUUGUGUUUCAUUAUCUAAGGAAGUUUCUUCUGAUAUGGGGACGGCCAAAUUAAGACCGGGAGCUUCUUAUGUGCAAGCUGCCCCUGCAAAGGAUAUUAGGGUGAAACCCAUGGAUUCUAUAUCAGUGACUAAUAGAGGUGAAAAAAGUAAUGUGAUUGUUCUUUCAGAUGAUGAAGCAGAAAUACAAAUUUCACCUGCUAAGCUCAUCCUACCUGAUAAUGGUCGUUCAGGUCGUGUUCAACUAGAUAACCAGACAGUGGCUUCUACAGCUGAUGGAAGUGCUUUAGUAGCUGAAACUGCAAAGGAGAAGGUUUCUAGCAUUAAGACUUCAAAGGACCUACUGGAUGCCUUUGAACAAAAAGAUGCUUCAGAUAGAUCUGGCCUCACUUCUCAGAAGGACUUUGAUAAAUUAAGGGGCAAAUCACUUUCUUCUCUCAAAUCAAAAGGUGCAGAUGAUAAGAUUAAAGAAGUCAAGUCCAAUGCCAGCAUAAAUGAUGCAUUUGCAUCUCAAAACAAAAUUGAUUUGAAGAACUCUUGUUAUGAGUCUGUGAAUGCUAAAAGUAUGAUUCAAACUUGCCACAGUCUGGUUUCCGAAACAAGAGAUUCGAUAUUGAAAGAGAUUGUGCGUGAUGCUACUGAUGAUAUAUCUGAAUCUUCAUUAAAAUCUGUGAGACAGCAGCCCUCAUUUCUGCCAAAGAUAAGUGCUUCUGGUCCAAAAAGGCAAAUCAUCCAACUUAAAACACCUAUGGAUAAUAGAUUUGGAAGUGUACACAGACUGGAGGCUGGAGUUAAAAGGUUCAAGCCUCCCAGACUUGAUGCCUGGUAUAGGCCUAUUUUGGAAAUAAAUUACUUUGAAACAGUGGGUUUAACAUCUGCAAGUGAAGAUGAGACUCACAAAGUUAGUAGAUUAAAGGAGGUUCCCAUGUGUUUCCGAUCACCUGAACAGUAUGUUGACAUUUUCCAGCCGUUAGUUUUGGAAGAGUUCAAAGCACAGUUGACUAGUUCAUUUUUAGAUAUGUCUUCAUGGGAGGAGAUGUAUUAUGGCAUUCUAUCUGUGUUGUCAGUUGAGAGGGUUGACGACUUCCAUCUUGUUCGCUUUGUCCAUGAUGACAAUGAUCUUACAUCGCCCAAAAGCUUUUCUGAAAAUGACCUUGUUUUGCUAACAAAAGAGGCUCCACAAAAUACUUAUUGUGAUGUUCAUAUGGUUGGCAAGGUGGAGAGACGGGAGAGAGACAAUAAAAGAAGGAUGAGUAUACUUCUGAUCAGGUUCUAUUUUCUAAAUGGAUCUUCACGGUUAAAUCAAGGUAGGAGGCAACUUCUUGAACGUAGUAAAUGGCAUACAAGUCGCAUCAUGAGCAUUACACCUCAACUUCGAGAAUUUCAGGUGCUAUCAUCAAUAAAGGAUAUUCCCAUACUUCCAGUUAUUCUAAAACCUGUAAAUGAUUCUGUGGAUCAUAAUGAAUUGAGAGAACUCGCUCUGUGUAAGCUAUCCCAAUCCUUGCAGCAAGUACUGACAUCAUCCUUUAAUGAGAGCCAAUUGCAAGCUAUCAGUGCUGCAAUUGGAUUGCCUAAUUCAAAGAAAGAACUUGAAUUAUCUCUUAUUCAGGGUCCUCCAGGUACUGGGAAGACCCGAACUAUAGUGGCAAUUGUCAGUGGGUUGCUUGCUUCACCUAGAGGAACAAAUGAUGCCAAGAAUCGUUUGAAUGGAAGUUCAAAACAAAUUAAUAGUUCACGCAUGAAUACAAGGCCAAAAGUUUGCCAGUCGGUUGCAAUUGCAAGGGCAUGGCAGGAUGCUUCCUUGGCUAGACAGUUAAAUGAGGAUGUUGAGAGAAAUGAAAAGUCAGUGGAAUGUACUGUGAGAAGAAGGGUGCUCCUUUGUGCUCAAUCAAAUGCUGCAGUUGAUGAGUUGAUAUCAAGAAUUUCCAGUGGUGGCCUUUAUGGUAGUGAUGGUAAAUUGUACAAGCCAUAUAUUGUAAGGGUUGGAAAUGCUAAAACAGUUCAUCCAAAUUCACUGCCCUUCUUUAUUGACACUCUUGUUGAUAAUCGCCUUGGUGAAGAGAGGAUGAAUUUGAAUGGCACUAAAAAUGAUUCAAGUAUGGGUUCUUCUACAGCAUUGCGUUCUAAUCUGGAAAAGUUAGUUGAUAAUAUUAGGUUUUAUGAGGCUAAGCGAGCUAACUUACAGGAUGGGAAUUCUGACCUUAAAAAUUCUUUAGAUGAUGGAACACGGAAAGGGGAUGACUUAAAAGAUAUGUCAGAUGCUGAAUUGGAGGUGAAGUUACAGAAGUUAUAUGCACAGAAGAAACAAAUUUUUAGAGAUCUUAGUGCUGCUCAGGCACAGGAAAAGAAAACUAAUGAAGAAAUUAAGGCUCUGAAACAUAAGCUGCGCAAGACAAUACUAAAGGAAGCUGAAAUAGUGGUUACUACAUUAAGUGGAUGUGGUGGUGAUCUCUAUGGAGUUUGCUCGGAAUCUAUAUCAAGCUGUAAAUUUGGGAAUCCAUCUGAGCAUACCCUUUUUGAUGCUGUUGUCAUUGAUGAAGCAGCUCAAGCUCUGGAACCUGCUACUUUGAUUCCUCUUCAGCUUUUAAAGUCACAUGGGACGAGGUGUAUUAUGGUUGGCGACCCAAAGCAGCUUCCUGCAACUGUCCUCUCUAAUACUGCAAGCAAAUUUCUUUAUGAGUGCAGCAUGUUUGAGCGUUUACAAAGGGCAGGUCAUCCAGUUACCAUGCUUACUAAACAGUAUAGGAUGCACCCAGAGAUUUGCCGGUUUCCCUCCUUGCAUUUUUAUGACGAGAAACUACUGAAUGGAGAAAACAUGUCAAGUAAAUCAGCAUCGUUUCAUGAGAGUGAGGACUUUGGCCCUUAUGUAUUCUAUGACAUUAUUGAUGGUCAGGAACUUCGUGGUAAGAAUUCUGGUGCAUUUUCCCUGUAUAAUGAGCAUGAAGCUGAAGCUGCUGUUGCAUUAUUAAGGAGUUUCAAGAAGAGGUACCCCUCUGAAUUUGAUGGCAGAAAAAUUGGGAUUAUAACUCCAUACAAGAACCAACUGUCACUUCUGCGUUCUCAUUUUUCAAGUGCAUUUGGGUCUUCCGUUAUAGCUGAUAUGGAAUUUAAUACCGUUGAUGGUUUUCAAGGUCGUGAAGUUGAUAUAUUGAUAUUUUCCACAGUUAGAGCUCCAGAUUCAUGUUCUCAUACAAAUAGAGCCAACUCCAGCAAUAUUGGGUUUAUUGCUGAUGUAAGGCGGAUGAACGUAGCUUUGACACGAGCCAAGCUCUCCCUUUGGAUUUUUGGUAAUGCAAGGACUCUACAAACAAACCUGAACUGGGCUGCCCUAGUAAAAGAUGCUAAAGAGAGAAACUUGAUUAUGUCAGUUAAAAGGCCGUACGAAUCCUUUAAAACAGCUUUCAGGCAUAAUAGCACUAAACAUUUUGAGAAUUCCUCAAGACAGGCUAAGCUUGUUAAAAAUGCUAGAGAUCCUAUCCACAGUAGCAAACAAAUUGAGCACAAGACACAGGCAUCGUGUCACAUGAAUACAAAACAAAUCAGUUCUGUGGUUCAAUGCAAUAUGGCAGUUGCAGGAGACGAUGAUAAUAUUGUAAGCAAGGAAGAUACCCACAGUGACAAAAGAAGAGCUAGAGAUCAUGAUCUUCCAUCUGUACGUGCUAGUGGUGAAAACAUAAUGUUAAAGAAUUUGAAGUCUUCAACUUCAAGGGAAUAUAUUGGGGAUAGUGAAAGUAAGUGCAAUGACAGAAGUGAGAAAAUUUCUCAUAAAGGUAAGAGGAAAGAUAAGAUGAAUUCACAGAGUAAUUUGUACUUGGAACAAGGGAUGAGUGAUAGCCGUGAAAAGUUAAAAGCGGCAAAAGGACCAAAGAAAUCUAUUAAGCAUGAUAAGGAAUUGGAAAUUUCAACUUCCUUAGCUGGAACUGGUAUUAAAGGGAGUGAGUGUGAUGUUGGUAGGACUCCUAAUCAAAUAGGUGCUUCUGAAGAUUUAAUCACAAAAAGGAAACAACAGCGGGAGGCUGUUGAUGCUAUUCUUUACUCGUCUCUCAUUUCUUCCAAGAAGUCAGAAUCAUCAAUGAAACCUGUUCCUGCCAAAAGGCCUCUUUCUCCUACUUCAAUUGUAAGCAGUGGUAUUAGACCGCCCAAGACAAGGAAAGGUCCAUCCAAACCCUCAAAAGCUGCAUUGAAAGACUAGAGCCAUCAUGACCACACUGAAAAGAGAUUUUUCCCCUGUUUGAUAUAUUGGAAUAUUUAGUAAAAAAAUCUUGAGGCCUGAGGAGCAUGAAAUUAAAAUCUGGUCUAGGUGCAAGUGAAGCUUGCCAAUGAUAUUGUGGCUUGAUGGAAGUUGAAAGAAGAUGAAGCGUGACUUCUGUUCAGCCGCAAACCUGCAUGUUCUUGAAUGAUCAGACUGCACAUUAAAUCACAGCGGAGCCUGGUUUCCUUUUACUCGGUUCACAUUCGUGUUUCCUGGAAAGUAUUAGAAUGCUGGCACAGAUGAGCUUGGCUUUACUUACCUUUGUGGGUCAACAUUUCAUAUCUUUUAAAAAUAUUUAUCAAACUCUAUGGGUUGGCACAUGAGAGCUUGUUCAUACCUUCCUGUUGGGUGCCCUCGGAACGUUGUAAAUAGUAACAAUUUUUCGGGUAAGGUCAUAGCUCUCUCAUAAUCACUGUAUGUACUUCGUUAACUUUAUUAUACUGUGUGCUUCUAAACGUAGGAGGUGAACUAUUGGGAGCUACAAAAGCUAAAAACUCUCAGCUGCUGAUUACACCAAAGCUUUUUGGUUUUGCGAGCUGAAUAUUAGGAGUUGAAAGGCUGAUAACUGCCCUUUUUAACACCAGAGCUAAACGGAACGGGUAAAGUGAAAUAAUCUUACCUUUUUCUCCCCCCAACACGCACACAGGAAAAA